AGCCUACGGGAGGCAGCAGUGGGGAAUAUUGCACAAUGGGGGGAACCCUGAUGCAGCGACGCCGCGUGAGUGAAGAAGUAUUUCGGUAUGUAAAGCUCUGUCAGCAGGGAAGAAGAAAGACGGUACCUGACCAAGAAGCCCCGGCUAACUACGUGCCAGCAGCCGCGGUAAUACGUAGGGGGCAAGCGUUAUCCGGAUUUACUGGGUGUAAAGGGAGCGUAGACGGCACUGCAAGUCCGGAGUGAAAGCCCAAGGCUUAACCAUGGGACUGCUCUGGAAACUGUGGAGCUUGAGU
rnacentral:rRNA from 1 species